CUGAAACUCAAAGGAAUUGACGGGGGCCCGCACAAGCGGUGGAACAUGUGGUUCAAUUCGACGCAACGCGAAGAACCUUACCUGGGCUUGAACCGCACAGGACCAUCUUUGGAAACAGAGACUUCCCGCAAGGGACCUGUGUAGAGGUGCUGCAUGGCUGUCGUCAGCUCGUGCCGUGAGGUGUUGGGUUAAGUCCCGCAACGAGCGCAACCCUUACUCAUAGUUGCUAUCCGCAAGGGAGAACUCUAUGAGGACUGCUCCGGAUAACGGAGAGGAAGGUGGGGAUGAGGUCAAGUCAGCAUGGCCUUUAUGUCCAGGGCUACACACGUGUUACAAUGCGCGCUACAGAGCGUUGCAAACCCGCGAGGGGGAGCUAAUCGCACAAAAGCGCGCUCAGUUCGGAUUGCAGUCUGCAACUCGACUGCAUGAAGCCGGAAUCGCUAGUAAUGGCGCAUCAGAACGGCGCCGUGAAUACGUUCCCGGGCCUUGUACACACCGCCCGUCACAUCACGAAAGUGGGCUGUACUAGAAAUCGCCGAGCCAACCGCAAGGAGGCAGGCGCUCAAGGUAUGACUCAUGAUUGGGGUGAAGUCGUAACAAGGUAACCGUA
rnacentral:rRNA from 1 species